rnacentral:tRNA from 2 species
GCCGCGUUAGCUCAGUUGGUAGAGCAAGGGACUGAAAAUCCCUGUGUCCUUGGUUCAAUUCCGAGACGCGGCA